GGCUUGGUGGCUCAGUUGGUAAAGCAUAAGACUCUUACACUCCCUCUGACCGGGUAAGAGCCUUAAGGUUGCUGGUUCGAUUCCCGCCUGAGGCA